rnacentral:rRNA from 1 species
UGGGGAAUAUUGGACAAUGGGCGAAAGCCUGAUCCAGCCAUGCCGCGUGUGUGAAGAAGGCCUUUUGGUUGUAAAGCACUUUAAGUGGGGAGGAAAAGCUUGUGGUUAAUACCCAUAAGCCCUGACGUUACCCACAGAAUAAGCACCGGCUAACUCUGUGCCAGCAGCCGCGGUAAUACAGAGGGUGCAAGCGUUAAUCGGAAUUACUGGGCGUAAAGCGCGCGUAGGUGGUUAUUUAAGUCAGAUGUGAAAGCCCCGGGCUUAACCUGGGAACUGCAUCUGAUACUGGAUAACUAGAGUAGGUGAGAGGGGAGUAGAAUUCCAGGUGUAGCGGCGAAAUGCGUAGAGAUCUGGAGGAAUACCGAUGGCGAAGGCAGCUCCCUGGCAUCAUACUGACACUGAGGUGCGAAAGCGUGGGUAGCAAACAGGAUUAGAUACCCUGGUAGUCCACGCCGUAAACGAUGUCUACCAGUCGUUGGGUCUUUUAAAGACUUAGUGACGCAGUUAACGCAAUAAGUAGACCGCCUGGGGAGUACGGCCGCAAGGUUA